rnacentral:ncRNA from 1 species
AGAGUGUUACGAUGAUGGAAAUUUAUUUCCAAGUCUAGCUCGAAACUUCUCCUGGAACUUCGCUUUCAGGAG